rnacentral:lncRNA from 1 species
UUACUACUCAAGUGAACUCAUGGGUAGAGAAAGUCACGAGCGGUCGCAUCAAGGACAUUCUCCCCUCAGGAUCUAUUGACAAUACCACUAAACUUGUUCUUGCCAAUGCCCUUUAUUUCAAAGGAGCUUGGACAGAGCAGUUUGAUUCAUAUGGAACAAAAAACGACUACUUCUACCUUCUUGAUGGGAGCUCAGUUCAAACACCAUUCAUGUCCAGCAUGGAUGACCAAUACCUUUUGUCUUCUGAUGGGUUGAAGGUACUUAAGCUUCCUUACAAGCAAGGUGGGGACAAUAGGCAGUUCUCCAUGUAUAUCCUUCUUCCAGAAGCACCGGGUGGUCUCUCAAGCUUGGCCGAAAAAUUGAGUGCUGAACCAGACUUCCUGGAGCGGCAUAUCCCAAGGCAGAGGGUUGCACUUAGGCAAUUCAAGCUCCCCAAGUUCAAGAUAUCAUUUGGAAUUGAAGCAUCCGAUUUGCUCAAAUGUUUGGGCCUCCAGCUUCCAUUCGGCGAUGAAGCGGAUUUUUCGGAGAUGGUGGAUUCCCUAAUGCCACAAGGUCUUCGUGUCUCAUAUGUUUUCCACCAAGCGUUUGUGGAAGUGAACGAACAAGGAACUGAGGCUGCAGCAUCAACUACUAUUAAAAUGGUCCCGCAACAGGCAAGGCCGCCCUCGGUCAUGGAUUUCAUCGCGGAUCACCCUUUCCUCUUCCUUCUCCGGGAAGACAUCUCUGGUGUGGUCCUAUUCAUGGGUCAUGUGGUCAAUCCCCUCUUAUCUUCGUAAUGUGUUUGCUCUGAAAGUGUGUGUUGUCAGUUGCCCUCAGCCAUUACAUGUAAGGGAAGGGUUUCGACGGUCAGUCAUGUUACCGAUACAAUAAAUCCAAUAAAUGGUUCUCCUAAGAUAUCCAAUAAAUUGUCUUUUAAUAACUGCUUGCUUGUUGUGCAAAGGAAAACCAAUUGGACUAUUUUUCAUUAAUCAUUGUGGAUUUGUGGUAGUGCGGAUUUCUCAAAGAACUACUCAUGCCAAAAGAAAAAAUCUAAGUCAUCUUGAUUAGUACUAUCCGACAUGAAUCUCAUCGUCAUUAACAUCUAUAUUUCACAAAAAAAUGCCAAUGGCCACUUUUUGAGAUUGAAUAUGCUCUUCAAUUUCUCUUCUUCUUAGAUUUUUCAUAUCCUCGCUUAUCUUUAGAUACACUAUAACUCCUUGAGAUUGGAGCUCCCAGGGCCGAUUGUGUUGAUCGAUUUACAUGGCCCCACAUGAACGGACGUGACCUUCCACGCUACCCUCUUCCUUGCCGCAGAUCCUUCCUCAGUUUCUCUCCCUUCCGAGAAUCUAUUCCGACAUAGAGACAACGCCUCCAGCACUAUAGUUGGUGCGGCCGACCGCUUUCUGGCUCUCCUCUCCGAUUCCCUGCCUCAGAGCAUCUACAGCCUCAAACACGGUGUGUCUGCGGGCACUGAUCGGUCACUUCACAAAUUGGCAUCUACAUUCGUGUAUUUCAUAUCAGAUCUCCUAUAUCCAUACUAAACUAUGUAGCAUUGAUCAAACUACGUAUAUCAUCAAACGGACAAAAAAUGCACUAUACGUUCAUCAAAAGAUCAUCAACGGAUCUUCGAAAUACCGCCAAAGUUCACAUAGUGCACAUAAAUGACGGACAACUUUAAACUACGUCUAAAAACUGAGCGGAUCUUCAUCACUUCCUCGCCGGAACUUUCCCUUUUCGGUCGCCAGCACAGCUGUAGGCGUCGGCGGCUGGUGGAGGAUCGUCCGAGUCGUCGGACGAGGCGCCGUGGUCGUCACUAUCGUCAGAGGAGGAGCAGAGGAUGAUGAGGCGUUUGAGGCGCCGGACGGCCCGGUCCUGCUGCCGUUUGAGCUCCGCCAGCCGAGCCGCCUCCAAUGCUUUCUCCUCUGCCUCGCGCUCGAACUGCUCGAUGGCAAGCCGGAGCACCUUGGCGUUCUUCCAGCGGAGCUGCCGAUCAUCCGUCUCCGCUGUCGUAAGCGACCGGCAGUAGACCCAAGUGGGGAACCGCUCGUCCCCGUCGAGCUCCGCCGGAAACCCGCGGCGGCGGCGGACAUAUUACUCCUCCGCGUCCCUCUCCCUUGCCCGCUGCCUGCGGUGGCGGGCGUCGGACAGAUUUCUCCGCCGCGUCCCUCUUCCUUGCUCGCUGCCUGUCGUGGCGGGCGGCGCGCGCCUAGCGUGCAUGCCGCGCUCGCUGGGCGGGCACAAGUACCCACCGCUACCCAUGUGGGGGAGCAGCAGCCGACGAGGACAGGGGAUAGUGUGGGGGAGGCGCGGACUGCGCAGCCCUCGUGGCGCUGCGUGUGGGCCGGGAGGGGCCUGCGCCGGCGUCCUCGCUGCGCUGGAAGGGGAGAGGUGAGGCGGCAGAUCCGGAACUGACCUCCGUGUCCACCUUGGACCUCUCGACGGCAAUGCGGAGAGCCAGCACCUCGUCGAUGUUGACGUCAGAGUCGGAGCGGCUGCCGGAACUAGACAUGGUCGCCGGAGUCGUUUGACUGAAUCGAAUCUGGGAAAUCCGAGGAGGAGAAGAGAUGAAACGAGAGCGGAGCGAGGUAGGGUUUUCGAUUGGGGAUAUUUGUGGUGACGGCGUGGGGCCGGUGUGGACCGGGCUACCAUGGCGGACGCACCCGGGGCGCUCGAUAUCCGCCCUAGAUUUGAUCUGAAUAUGAGGGGAGUGAGACAGUCCAAGCAUUUGAGGCUUGUUUGAGGACACGUCUGGAUCAAAUUUUCAUGCUCGGUCAAUGAUCGCGCCAUCCGUCCGGACGUUUGAGACGGAUUUAGAAUGCGCGCCUGUAGAUGCUCUCGGCCUCAAUCUUUCGCCUCCAAACGUUCCCCCGCGACCAACCCAAUCCAGGCCUCGUUCACCGUCUAGCAGUCGUCUGCGCCGCCUCCCGCAAUUCCUCCGACCUCCGGUGCAACACUUCAUGUAACUUCCCUGGAUCAUCGCGCUUCCCGCGCCGUCUCGUCGACAGUCGACGUGCGCUUCUCAUGUUCAAUUUUUCAAGGAUAGUGUCACCGCUUUUUUCUCAUAGUGUUUGGCUGCUCGAUCACCUGGCCGCUGUUAAUCUCAUCUCGGUGAUGCAGCAAACAAAGGAGAGUGCGGGUCUGCAGUUCAAGGUCAGACUGCAGUGCAACUGUGCAAUGUAAGUUUGACUGACACGCUUGGAUCUGCCGCGUCUUUGUGCUGGGUGCUAGUCGCUGCCCUGCUAGAUGCAUGGAAGAGUUGCAUGUAUACACACCGGUGUUGAGCGUUGGUGGCCUCAUUGGUGACUGUCGUGGUUCUAAGUCUGACAAUAGAAUGGGGGGUAAGUAUGGAAAGGCAAGGUCCUAGCUAUGGAGUAGUUGUACACACGGGUGUUUAGCGAGUUUAGACCCUUCUCUGAGGAAGUAACAGCCCUACGUCUCGGAGCCCGGAGGCGGUCGACUGAUCUCUAUGUAUAUGAGUUACAGAAGUGCGAACCUUUCUACCAGUGGAGGGGGGUGGCUUAUAUAGAGGACGCCAGGACCCCAGCCAGCCCACAUAGAGGAGGGUUAAAGUACAUUAAGGCUGGGCGUUACUGGUAACGCCCUAUAUAAAGUGUCAUCAUGACCAUUAAGACUAUUUAAUUACAGACCGUUUGGAUGCAGAGUAGAUCCUGAACUUCCGAUAGUCGAGUGCGUCUUCAUGGUCGAGUGUCUUCUAGCUAGUCGGGUGGAGUCUCCCUUGGUAGAGUGGAGCUUCUUUUGGUCGACCGGAAGGUAGCUUCGUAUGAUAAUGUCCUUUGGCAUGGUAUCCUAGAUAGGUCCAUGACCCUAACCUAGGUACAUAACCUCAUCAUUAGCCCCCGAAUGGAUCGAGGUUCGAGUGAGGAAGGAGUUGACGAUUUUCUCCGACUUAUUUACUGUACUUUGAUUGUGUCGUAUCUUGGAUCGGCGAUUCUUCUUUCGGCGCUGGCGUCGACUUUUACUUCAGUCGCCUUGAUCCAUUCUUAUCUUUUGUCGAGUGAACUUUUGAACUCCGGUGAACUUACGAGCGACGGAUCGCGGGAAGGAUAUCGUCUGACAGAUUGAUCUGCUGUUAGCGGAUUUUGCGGGAUCUGAAAUUUGGGAAGCGCACGAAGCGGGGCAAUCCGCGGCAAUCGGGCGGGAUAAGGCAUGGACGCCUUGAUUUCCGCGUCGCCUUUUUCGCCACGUAUCGUACGUGUGCGACUGUUUCGGGAUGUGACAGAUCUGCUCGGACCCACUCGUCAGCCACUCGGAAGCGCCCUUAUAUAAAGCGUCGGGGAAGAGUUUUUGAACAGUGCCUCCCCAUUCUCCUCUCUUCCCUCUCUGCCUCCGCCCACGGCGCCUGCUCCUAGCUCCGCCUUAUCCACCUCUCGAGCGCUUCGCCGACGAUAAUGGUGAAGGAGAAGACGGCGGUUCUAGAGCGCGCGAAGAAGGUGACGGCGACGGGGCAAGCGAAGGGGAGACCGUCCAGUCGGGGCGGAUCUUCGUCGAGGUCCCGCCUGCCGAAGGGUUGGGUCCAAGGGGAUUGGAUCCGCUCGACCAUCACUGGGAAGGACCUCGACGACCUGGCCAAUGAGGGACUGAUCCCCCACGGGUCAGCAAGGCCCCCGGGGUCCGAGUGUCAACCGCAGCCGCAGGAGGGUGAGCGCGUUCUCUUAGCCACUCACGUAGAUCGUGGUUUUUCUCUGCCGCCGAGUGUGUUCUUCCGUGGGUUUCUGAAAUUCUUUGGGGCGCAACUCCACCAUUUCAAUCCCAAUUCCAUCGCCUAUCUUGCUGCCUUUGUGUCCAUGUGCGAGAACUUCCUGGGUUGUCGACCGCACUGGGGUCUCUUCAAGCACAUAUUCACCUGUCGGUCGCAGACCGUAAAAAAGGCGAGCUCGGGUGAUGAGAGGACCAAGGUUAUUCAGAUGUGCGGGGGUCUUGGGAUUCAGUUGAGGAAUAAGAGCACUUUCCCGGCCAUGACCCUUCCUGAGUCGGUCAGAGGGUGGCAGUCGACUUGAUUCUACUGCCAAGACGAGUCGACGCCGGGGCAGUCGACUGGUCUCCCUCCGUUCUCCAUGGACCGAGUGGUCAAACCGUCUUCUCUGAAGGUGCUUCCUGAGGAGAAAGCCGAGGUAAAAAUGUUGGUGGAGCGCAUGGUCCAACUCGUUCGGGACGGAGUGACGGGCAUGGAUCUUCUGAAAGUAUUCCUUAGGCGGCGCAUCCAACCGCUCCAGUAUCGAGGCCACCCGAUGUGGUUGUACUGCGGUACCGAAGACACCACUCGGGUCCAUCCAGAGGCAGUCGACGACGCCACGCUGGAGAGGUGGGUGACCUCCAUCACAGGGAACAAGGACAACCGUCGAGGAGUGAGGAGGAUCCCGCCACUCGACUGUACCUAUACGCCGGACAAGGUAUGGCCGCUUAUCUCCGAGUGUAAUUUUGUUUUAUCCAUUCUGCUUUGCCACAAAUUGGUCGAUUGAUCUUUGUUUUGCUCUGUUGUCUGAUAGGCCACCACUGAAUUGUACUCGAUUCCCAAUGGGGCGCAGACGCCGACUGAGGAGGAGGAAGGAAGCGGGGGCGAAAGCCCGGAGGAGUGGGAUUCAGAUGUCGACGACGACGAUGAGGGUGAUGACUCUAGUGAGGAGGAAGAAGAGGAGGAAGAGGAGGAAGUUGCACCUCCCCGCUCGGAAAGACGCUCGAAGCUUGCCCAUGAUCCAGCGACUGAGCGGGGUAAGGGGGUCGCAACCGCUUCUCAGUCGACCAAGCGCCCUCGGACCACUUCUCCGGCGCCGACUGAGAAGGCUCCGAAGCAAUCUCGAGUGGCACCGUCGAAGCCUGCAAAGGUCUUGCCGAAGAUGAAGAUGGUGAUCCCCACUAUCUCAGGGUAAUGGUAGUUUUGAGCUUUCCCUGUUUCAUGAACUUGUUCUUGGUCGACUCAUGGUCCAAUCGACUGACUUUUGGAACUGCAGCGUUGCUACUUCCGACACUUCGGCGAGAGCCGAAGACCACGAGAUGGAGGAUGCUGCAACCUCGAACCCUGGUAUGACUCCUGCGUUGCCGUUUUCAGUCGACUGACUCAUUGUCUCUAAUUUUUAUUCUUUCUGCAGUUUCAUCUAACAUUGUUAUUGACCUUCCUGACGACGACGAUGAAUAACCACCACGGCCGAGGAAAAGCAAGAAAACGUCGGCUGGCAAGGCGACUCAGGAUGUGCCGGCACCCGAGACGUUAGUCGUGGAGGGAGACAAUGUCACUCGACCCACCGUAACCUUCGCGGUGCCGUUGAUGAGUGCUCGCCCUUCAUCGUCGAGUGCUGCUCAACCCUCGCUUUUCUCCACCUACCCCGUUCCAGAAGACCAAGCCAGUGCUGCCAAAGAAGCGAUACGCCAGGCGGGGGUCAUGAUGGAGCAAGUGAAGGCAAUUCGAGAAGCCAGCCAGGCAGCCUAUGACGCCAGUUCGGCACUCCAGAGUAAUGUUCAGGUCAGUCGGUCACUGCCUGUUCUUCUUUCUGAAAUUCCUAGAGUCUGUCCUACACCCAGUGGGUGUGUGUCGAUUAAAAUUCCGGGUUAGUGGGGGCACGCUGAGUGCACCCACUGGGUGUAGUCCCCAAGGCUAUGGUGGACUGCUGGCAGUCGACCAUAGUCUUAAUGCUUUGAGUUUUUCUUUACUCGACAAGGUCGAAUAGAUUCAUAGACCGGUGGGGGCACGCUGAGUGCACCCACUGGGUGUAGUCCCCGAGACUGUGGUCGACUGCUGGCAGUUGACUAUAGUCUAAAGAACAUUGCCUCUCUUUUUUUUGUUGGUCGACUAGUCGACUCUUGAUGAAACUAGUGGGGGCACGCUGAGUGCACCCACUGGGUGUAGUCCCCGAGACUAUGGUCGAAUGUUUGCAUUCGACCGUAGUCUUAGAAACGCUAUGAUUUUUCCUUACUCACUCGGAAGUGAAUUUUCUUUGACGUCUGUCGAUUGAUUCUUCGUAGAAAUCAUGUGACCUUGUGGCUCGUUAUACUGAGUUGGAGAACAAACACAUUCAGCUCGAGCUCGAUCUGAAACUGGCCCAAGAGACCUUGACGAAGGCGAAGGAGGAAGCUAAAGGUAUGCUUGGUGAGGCCUUUGACGACUGCCUUUGCCUCUCACUUGUUUCCGAAUCUGAUCUCACUGUAACUUUGUAGGCAAAGUGAUGGACGCCCUGAAGAAACAAGAGCUUGACUUGGCUGAGAUGCAAAAGACUGCUUUAGAGAAGACCAGGCUAGCGGAUGAGAAGCUGGCUUCAGUGACUAAGCUUGAAGAAGAAAACACCAAUCUGAAAGCUGCUCUUGAUGCUGCCAACCAGGAGGUCACUUAACUGAAAAGCGACAAGACCACCCUGAAUGACAAGGCCAGUGAGUUGAAGAGAAAGAAGAAUGAUCUAGAGGCUUAUCUGGGUGGACUCGCCAAGAAGUUGUUCCUCAUGCUUGAAGGUAAUCCUUUGUAUCGAACAAAUAUUUUAAUUGUAACCUCUGACUGUUUGUCUUGACUCGGUGGUUGUGCUUGCAGAAUUUUGUCAGAACUUUGAAGAGGAGACUGGUCGACUGGAAGUGAACCUGGACCCCAUCAACUCUCCUGUGAAAGAUGAAGUUGCCAUGAACAUGCUCCGACUUGAAUCUCGUGUUGCUGCUAUCAUCGAUUAUCUCGCAAGGCUGAAGGUCGCAACUUCCUGCAUCGACACAACACUCUGGCCAAGAGAGACACUCCAGAACGACCUCGAGUCUCUGAUGACUCGACUGAACGAGGUCCCAAGUCGAGUGCAGGAGUGGAAGAAGUCUUCGGCCAGGUGUGGCGCGGAUGUUGCUCUAUCUCUGGUCCGCGUUCACUGCAAGGAUGCAUGAGAGGACAAGCUGGUGGCUCUCAGGGUGGCCAACACCAAGAAGCACGAUUUCAGAUCCUUCAUGGAGACCUUCAUUGCCGCUGCCACUCGGAUUGCAGAUGGAAUCGAUCUGGACGAGUUUGUGGCACCUUCCAGCCCUCCACAGGAGGGGUAAAAAACUUUUGAGCUUGAUACUUUAAAUUUGCCUCGGUAUGCCGAGUGAGUUUUGUAACCGACAAACCUUAACAGGCCUAGCGCCUGAGCACUUUCGGUUCCGCUAGGUGUUAUCCAAACUUGGGUUCGUCGCUGAAUAUGUUUGCAUUUGGUUUGAGGCGUCUUUUGCAGGUUAAAGCGAAGCGCUUAUUGCCAUCGACUUGUCCCCCAAUUCACUUAGGCGGGCACUGGGCUGCAGCUAAGUCCCCGAGCGAGAGGUUUUCCCUCCACUCGGUAGGAUUUCAGACACUUAGGCGAGCACUGGGCCGCAGCUAAGCCCCCGAGUGGGAGGUCUGCUCUCCACUCGGUAGGAUUUCAGAAACUUAGGCGAGCACUGGGCUGCAGCUAAGCCCCCGAGUGGGAGGUCUGCUCUCCACUCAGUAGGAUUUCAAACACUUAGGCGAGCACUGGGCUGCAGCUAAGCCCCCGAGUGGGAGGUCUGCUCUCCACUCGGUAGGAUUUCAGACACUUAGGCGAGCACUGGGCUGCAGCUAAGCCCCCGAGUGGGAGGUCUACUCUCCACUCGGUAGGAUUUCAGACNNNNNNNNNNNNNNNNNNNNNNNNNNNNNNNNNNNNNNNNNNNNNNNNNNNNNNNNNNNNNNNNNNNNNNNNNNNNNNNNNNNNNNNNNNNNNNNNNNNNNNNNNNNNNNNNNNNNNNNNNNNNNNNNNNNNNNNNNNNNNNNNNNNNNNNNNNNNNNNNNNNNNNNNNNNNNNNNNNNNNNNNNNNNNNNNNNNNNNNNNNNNNNNNNNNNNNNNNNNNNNNNNNNNNNNNNNNNNNNNNNNNNNNNNNNNNNNNNNNNNNNNNNNNNNNNNNNNNNNNNNNNNNNNNNNNNNNNNNNNNNNNNNNNNNNNNNNNNNNNNNNNNNNNNNNNNNNNNNNNNNNNNNNNNNNNNNNNNNNNNNNNNNNNNNNNNNNNNNNNNNNNNNNNNNNNNNNNNNNNUAAGCCCCCGAGUGGGAGGUCUGCUCUCCACUCGGUAGGAUUUCAGACACUUAGGCGAGCACUGGGCUGCAGCUAAGCCCCCGAGUGGGAGGUCUGCUCUCCACUCGGUAGGAUUUCAGAAACUUAGGCGAGCACUGGGCUGCAGCUAAGCCCCCGAGUGGGAGGUCUGCUCUCCACUCGGUAGGAUUUCAAACACUUAGGCGAGCACUGGGCUGCAGCUAAGCCCCCGAGUGGGAGGUCUGCUCUCCACUCGGUAGGAUUUUUGAAUUGGUGGCGCAACUCGGAAGGAGAGGGUAGCAGUCGACCUGCACCUCGUCCUCCUUGCGGAACGCAUGUUGUACUUGUACUUAGGCGAGUUCUUGGACUGCAGCUAGGCCUCCGAGUGGAAGGCUGGCUUACCACUCGGUAGGAUUUUAUUUAUCUUAGGCGAGUACUUGGACUGCAGCUAAGCCUCCGAGUGGAAGGCUGGCUUACCACUCGGUAGGAUUUUAUUUAUCUUAGGCGAGUACUUGGACUGCAGCUAAGCCUCCGAGUGGAAGGCUGGCUUACCACUCGGUAGGAUUUUAUUUAUCUUAGGCGAGUACUUGGACUGCAGCUAAGCCUCCGAGUGGAAGGCUGGCUUACCACUCAGUAGGAUUUUAUUUAUCUUAGGCGAAACGGAUUUUACAGCUAAGCCUUCGUGUGGGAGACUGACUCACCACUCGGUUAGGAUUUGUUUUUACAGACUUAGGCGAAUCGGAUUCGCAGCUAAGCCACCCACUGGGGGAUUGUUUUAUAUGGACAAAAGUAAUAACAAUCACUGGGAAAACUAUAAAGCUCUUGUCUUUGAUAAAUAAACUACAGGAGUACUUUUAUUACAACUCAUCCGAGUGAAUACCUAAGUGUAAAAGGGGCGGAGAAGCUCCGCGUUCCAAGCUCGGGGCUCGUCAAUCUGAUGCUUGACAUUGUAAAGACGGUAUGCUCCAUUGUGGAGAACCUUGGUGACCAUGAAGGGACCUUCCCAAGAAGGAGCAAGCUUGUGUGGUUUCUGCUGGUCCACUCGGAGAACUAAAUCUCCUUCCUGGAAGGCUCGACUCUUCAUGUUUUUGGCGUGGAAGCGACGCAAGUCUUGUUGAUAAAUGGUCGAUCUGAUCAGAGCCAUCUCUCUUUCUUCCUCUAAAAGGUCGACUGCGUCCUGCCGCGCUUGUUCUGCUUCAGCUUCGGUGUAGAGCUCGACUCGGGGAGCGUUGUGGAGAAGAUCACUCGGCAAGACUGCUUCAGCUCCGUAGACCAAGAAGAAUGGAGUUCUUCCAGUCGACCGGUUGGGUGUGGUCCUUAACCCCCAAAGCACCGAGGGAAGUUCGUCAACCCAUGCACCAGCCGCAUGCUUGAGAUCACGCAUCAAACGGGGCUUCAACCCUUUGAGAAUUAAACCGUUGGCUCAUUCUGCCUGUCCAUUCGUCUGCGGAUGGGCAACUGAAGCAUAGUCGACUCGCGUGCCUUGAGACGUGCAGAAAGCUCUGAAUUCUUCAGAAUCGAAGUUUGACCCGUUAUCAGUGAUGAUGUUGUGCGGGACUCCAUAUCUAAAUAUCAGUUCUCGGAUGAAGCUGACAGCGGUACCAGCAUCGAGGUUCUUGAUGGGUUUGGCCUUAAUCCACUUGGUAAACUUGUCGACUGCUACCAGCACAUGUGUGAAACCGCUUCUUCCUGUUCUCAAUGGGCCAACCAUAUCCAAACCCCAUACAACAAAGGGCCAGACAAGUGGUAUGGUCUUUAAGGCUGAGGCAGGCUUGUGUGACAUAUUGGAGUAAAAUUGACAUCCCUCACACUUGUCGACUAUCUCCUUCGCCAUUUCAUUCGCUCUGGGCCAAUAAAAACCAGCUCGGUAUGCUUUGGCCACGAUGGUCCGAGAAGACGCAUGAUGGCCACAGGUCCCCGAGUGGAUGUCAUUGAGAAUCAUUCGACCUUCCUCCGGUGUUAUGCAUUUCUGGCUGACUCCAGUCGCACUUUCUCUGUACAACUGACCUCUCAUGACGGUGAAGGCUUUGGACCGGCGGACGAUCUCUCGAGCUUCUUCUUCAUUCUCGGGGAGUUCCUUCCUCAAAAUAUAGGCGAUGUAGGGCACUGUCCAAUCGGGAGUGAUGACCAAAACUUCCAUGAUCAAGUCGACCACCGCUGGGACCUCGACUUCAGUCGGAUCUGUGGCGCUUUUAGGCUGCGGGGCUUCUGCAGUGAAAGGAUCCUCUUGAACCGAUGGCGUGUAGACAUGUUCCAAAAACACGCCACUCGGAAUGGCUUCCCUCUUGGAACCUAUCUUUGCCAAGUCAUCGGCUGCUUGAUUUUUCAGUCGGGGAACGUGAUGGAGUUCUAACCCUUCGAAUUUCUUUUCAAGCUUCCUCACUGCAUUGCAGUAUCUAGUCAUGGAUGGGCUUCUCACGUCCCACUCCUUCAUCACCUGAUUGACCACCAAAUCUGAGUCGCCGUAAACCAUAAGGCGACGGACGCUGAGUGAAAUGUCCAUGCGCAACCCAUACAACAGUGCUUCAUAUUCUGCUUCAUUGUUGGAGGAAUCAAAGUGGAUCUGGAGCACAUAUCUGAGCUUAUCUCCUCGGGGAGAAACCAAAACUACCCCAGCACCAGAACCAUUUAACAUCUUAGAGCCAUCAAAGAACAUGGUCCAAUGCUCCGAGUGAACUUGAGUCGGCUGCUGCUGUUCAAUCCACUCGGCAAGGAAAUCUGCUAUAGCCUGGGACUUAAUGGCUUUCUUUGCCUCGAAUUUGAUAUCAAGGGGAAGGAGUUCAAUCGCCCAUUUAGCCACUCGACCAGUUGCAUCUCUGUUGUGCAGAAUCUCCGACAAUGGUGCGUCGCUGACGACUAUAAUGUCAUGAUCAGAGAAAUAAUGAGCAACCUUCUUCAUGGUCAUGUAGAUCCCAUAUACGAGCUUCUGAUAAUGAGGAUAUCUUUGCUUCGAUCGGGUCAAAACUUUAGAGAGAUAAUACACUGGGCGCUGAACUUUGAAGGCUUUCCCUUCUACUUCCCGCUCGACCGUAAGUAUUGUACUGACGACUUGUCCUGUGGCUGCAAUAUAAAGCAACAGUGGCUCUUUACUGAUUGGAGCGGCAAGCACCGGCUAGGUGGAGAGCAGAGUUUUUAACUCGGCAAACGCUGCAUCAGCUUUUGGAGUCCACUCGAACUUGUCUGCCUUCUUCAUCAGUCGGUAAAGGGGCAACGCCUUUUCACCGAGGCGAGAGAUGAAUCGACUUAACGCGGCCAGGCAUCCAGUAAGCUUCUGGACAUCGUGCACACGCACAGGGCGUUUCAUUCGGAGUAUGGUGCCAACUUUUUCUGGGUUAGCAUCGAUUCCUCGUUCCGAAACGAGAAAACCGAGUAACUUCCCACCAGGUACUCCGAAUGUGCACUUUGAAGGAUUGAGCUUGAUAUCAUACCUCCUGAGAUUGGCAAAUGUUUCAGCUAAGUUAGUCAACAGGUCGGAACCCUUUCGCGACUUGACCACGAUAUCAUCCAUGUAUGCUUCCACAUUCCAACUAAUUUGAGUGAGUAAACACUUUUGAAUCAUUCUCAUGAAUGUGGCUCCGGCAUUCUUGAGGCCGAAAGGCAUGGUGAUAUAGCAGAAGCACCCGAAUGGGGUGAUGAAAGCUGUUUUGAUUUCAUCGGGCCCAUACAGACGGAUCUGAUGAUACCCGGAAUAAGCGUCCAGAAAAGACAAUCUCUCGCACCCUGCGGUCGAGUCGACAAUUUGGUCGACGCGAGGGAGAGGAAAAUGAUCUUUCGGGUAGGCCUGAUUGAUAUGUUUGAAAUCAAUGCACAUACGAAGGGAAUUGUCCUUUUUGCGAACCAUAACGACAUUGGCGAGCCACUCGGAGUGGUAUAUCUCUCGGAUGAACUCUGCUGCAAGGAGUCGAGCCACCUCUUCGCCAAUGGCUUUUUUGUUCUGAACAGCGGACCGUCGAAGAUGUUCUUUAACGAGUUUUGCCUUUGAAUCGACUCUAAGGCGAUGCUCAGCCAGUCCCCUGGGAACACCUGGCAUGUCAGCUGGCUUCCAUGCGAAGAUGUCCCAGUUCUCACGGAGGAACUGGAUGAGCGCUUCUUCCUAUUUAGAGUCGGGUGUAGUGGAAAUAUGGGUCGGAGCUGCAUUGGGGUCAGUCGGGUGGAUGUGAACUGGCUUCGUCUCACCGGACGACUGAAAUGCUGACUCUGUGGCGGGCUUCUUGGCUCGCAGUAAAUCACUCGGAUCUGCGUUCUUCUUGUACCCCUCUAGCUCUAUCACUGUUAUCUGGUCAUCCGCAAUCUUUGAGCCUUUCUGGAAACACUCUUCUGCUUUCUUCCGGUUACCAGUGACGGUGAUCACGCCUUUGGGGCCAGGCAUCUUUAACUUGAGGUACACGUAACAUGGUCGAUCCAUGAAGCGGGCGUAGGCUGGUCUUCCCAAGAUAGUGUGGUAGGCGCUCUGGAAAUCCACGAUUUCAAAUGUCAGCUUCUCUUUGCGGAAAUGCUUCGAGUCACCGAACACCACAUCCAGAGCUAUUUGGCCGAGUGACUCAGCCUUCUUUCCUGGGAUGACUCCGUGAAAACUCAUGUUGCUGGAACUGAGCCUGGACAUCGGAAUGCCCAUUCCCUUGAGCGUCUCUGCAUAUAGUAUGUUCAACCCGCUGCCGCCAUUCAUCAAUACCUUCGUCAGUCGAGUGCCUUCGACGACCGGGUCGGCCACCAGUGCUUGCCUCCCAGGGGUGGCAAUAUGAGUAGGAUGGUCCGACUGGUCGAAAGUAAUGGGAGUUUGCGACCAUCUCAGAUAGUUUGGUGUUGCUGGUGCGACCAUAUUGACUUCACGGUUGAUCACUUUCAGUCGACUUUUGCUCUCUACAUCAGCAAAAAUCAUCAGAGUGAAGUUGACAUGAGGGUACUCACCAUCACUGUCCUGCUUGUCCUCAGCCUUGUCUGACUCCUUCUCUUUGUCCUUCAGCUGUUUCCCUUGGAACUGCUGGAUUAAGAGCCGGCACUGGCGAGUGGUAUGCUUUGGGUAGAUGAAGUUACCCUCUUCGUCUUUCUUCGUGUGGAUAUGACACGGCAGGUCCAUCACAUCAUUACCCUCCUUAUCUUUUACCUUCUUGGGGUUCCAAGAUCCUUUGGGCUUCCCUUUAAAUUUGCCCUGUGUCACGGCUAGAGCCUCUCCAGGAGCUGCUGGCUCGGCCUUCCGCUUCUGCUUCCGACUGGAGUUUCCUUUAUCCGACUAACUCGGCUUGUACUUGCCGCUCCGGAGUCGGUCCUCUUCUUCGCCGUUGGCGUACUUGGUGGCUAUUUCCAUCAUCCGACUCAGGGUCAUGUCUCCAGUUCGACCAAACUUCAGGCUCAACUCUUUGUUCUUGACGCCAUCUUUGAAGGCGCAAACCGCUUGAUGGUCCGACACAUUCUCUACAGUGUGAUGCAAAGUGAUCCACCUCUGGAUGUAAUCCCUCAGUGUUUCACUCGACUUUUGUACACAAACUUGUAGCUCAGUUAAUCCAGCAGGUCGCUUGCAAGUUCCCUCAAACGUCCUGACGAACACUCGAGAAAGAUCUACCCAGGUGUAAAUGUUGCUGGGAGCUAACUGAUUCAACCAUGCCCUGGCUGAACCUCCUAGAAUAAGUGGCAAAUGUUUCAUGGCCACCUCAUCAUUACCGCCACCAAUCUGAACAGCCACUCGGUAGUCUUCGAGCCAAGUUUCAGGCUUAGACUCUCCGGUGAACUUAUUCACCCCAUUCGCCAACCUGAAGUUGGGGGGUAUCACUGCGGUUCUGAUCGCUCUGCGAAAACAUUCUGGACCUGAAACAUGGACUCGGCUGCUUGUGGGCACAUCUCUGUCAUGACCACCUCUAUGAGCUCUGUUUCAGUCGACCAAACCUUGCACGAUGAUGGAUCUCGCGUCAAAGCCUGGCUCUCUGGGGUCGACUGGAGCUCUCUGCCCAACACUGAGCUGGCUUCUAUCAUCUUGCUGCCGAUGGGCGUUAGACCCACUUCUCGGAGGAGGAGUGGGCACUCGACGCCUGUCAUCACGAUCAAAUCGAUCAUCAUAGUGGUCCCGCCGGCCUUCACGUCCCACGCGCCUCGGAGGCGACCUUGGACUGUCAGCUGACUGAAUAGUAUUCGCAGCAACAGAUCGACUGUGAAUCCUGUUAGGUGACUGUGACACAGCUGAAUUCUGAUCUCCUGCUGCCCGGAGCAAAUCUCUGAUCUGCAUCAAGCCUCUUCCAGCCUCUGACUGAGAGGGCUGAAUUGACUCUGCUAUGCGGGCUGCAGCUGCCAAAUUCUGAAUUGGGGUUCGAUAUACCUGAGUUGGUUGCGGAAAGAGCUGACGUCGAUUGGAGUUAGUCGCUCGUUGACGCGCAUGCUCGUCGAGUGCUCGCUGAAGGUUCUCCAGUCGAGUGUGUUCAGCCAGGUUGGCUAAACGCGCCUCUUCCAGGGCACGAGCCUCAGGAGUUUCUCCUGCAAUGGGAGUAUGCAGGGCAUCCAUGUUCUGGCGGCGAAGUUCUUCCCUCUGCUGGGAAGUGAGCGGCUCGGGUUGGUACUCUUCAUGGGCUUGAGCAGGGUCAUCCUCGUCGUCCAUCCCGUCGCCACGGGGGAAACCGGGAGGACUACGGGGCCCAUUGACCAUCAGGACCUCCGCCGUCGGAUCACUGCUAUCGCACUCGGAUGCAGCCUCUACAGAGCCAGUCGACAGGUCGAAUAGGCCGUAGAGAGAUCCGUCAGGCUCAAUCGCCGCGACUUGGGUGGUGGCCGAUUGGCGAGCCACUGCGUGUCUCACCCAUCGCUGGAGCCUCAACCGACCGGAGCGCUUGCGCUGGCGGGAGACAGGGAGGGAGGACGGCGCAGGAGUCGACCGGUAUGGGGUCGACGGCUGCCGCAGCAAGACGCUGCGGACACACACCCGAAAGUGCAUCGCCCCGCGGACGGGGAGCGCUCCGAUGUCGAGUGGUGCCUCCUGGAGCCAAGCGGAGUCGUCGGCGAUGAAAGUGAGCGCACCGAGACGGAUCUCGUGGCCCUCGACCAGAGCUCUGCCAGAAACCAUGAUGAAGGCGAUCGGACAAAUUGCAACUUCUCCAAAAAAGUCGCUAAGACACCUGCCCCACGGUGGGCGCCAACUGUCGUGGUUCUAAGUCUGACAGUAGAAUGGGGGGUAAGUAUGGAAAGGCAAGGUCCUAGCUAUGGAGUAGUUGUACACACGGGUGUUUAGCGAGUUCAGGCCCUUCUCUGAGGAAGUAACAGCCCUACGUCUCGGAGCCCGGAGGCGGUCGACUGAUCUCUGUGUAUAUGAGUUACAGGGGUGCGAAACUUUCUACCAGUGGAGGGGGGUGGCUUAUAUAGAGGACGCCAGGACCCCAGCCAGCCCACGUAGGGGGGGUAAAAGUACAUUAAGGCUGGGCGUUAUUGGUAACGCCCUACAUAAAGUGUCAUCAUGACCAUUAAGACUAUUUAAUUACAAACCGUUUGGAUGCAGAGUAGAUCCUGAACUUCCGAUAGUCGAGUGCGUCUUCAUGGUCGAGUGUCUUCUAGCCGGUCGAGUGGAGUCUCCCUUGGUCGAGUGGAGCUUCUUUUGGUCGACUGGAAGGUAGCUUCAUAUGAUAAUGUCCUUGGGCAUGGUAUCCUAGAUAGGUCCAUGACCCUACCCUAGGUACAUAACCUCAUCAGUGACCCCGUGGACGAAAAAGGUCUGAACAUUUUUCUGAUUUGCACACACCCUGUCGAUCCUGGACACACCAGAAAAGGCCAAUCUUUUUUAUUUAGCUGCCUAUGUUUUUACACAAAACUAUGAAGAACAUAGAGGGCAGCUUUGGGUCACGGAAAAAACUUAUACUGUGUGCAAAAGAAAUCAUGAUUUCAGCAGCACUGAAUAUGUACAGCAAAGGUCGAAACAAUUUAUCAAAAAAUGUGUCUGUGUUUCAUUCUUCCGCAAUACAAUAAGAAGUCCACCACUAAAGCUUUUUCCUCCUCCACAAGUAAAGUCCCUUAUCCUCCGGUCGGCGUCGCCGUCGGUCCGCCCCAUCUCUGAUGGCCUCUGGGCCAUGGAGUCGCCGAGGAUCCCAGCCCUUGUUCUCCUCCUUGUUAGAUUUAGCGUCUUGGUUGGGGUUGGGUGGAGGCGGCGAUGUCCCUUAAUAGGAAUAAUGUAUGAUUGGUUAUCUUUGUAAGUAUCUUCGAGUUAUCAGUUUGGUUUGGCCUACUAGAUUUAUCUUUCUUGCAAUGUUAGAAGUGCUUAGCUUUGGGUUCAAUCUUGCGGUGUCCUUUCCCAGUGACAGCAGGGGCAGCAAGGCACGUAUUGUAUUGUUGUCAUCGAGGAUAAAAAGAUGGGGUUUAUAUCAUAUUGCUUGAGUUUAUCCCUCUACAUCAUGUCAUCUUGCCUAAUGUGUUACUUUGUUCUUAUGAAUUUAAUACUCUAUAUGCAAGCUGGAUAGCGGUCAAUGUGUGGAGUAAUAGUAGUAAAUGCAGGCACGAGUCGGUCUACUUGUCGUGGACGUGAUGCCUUGAUACGUCUCCAACGUAUCUAUAAUUUUUUAUUGUUCCAUGCUAUUAUAUUACCCGUUUUGGAUGUUUAUGGACUUUACUUUACACUUUUAUAUUAUUUUUGGGACUAACCUACUAACCGGAGACCCAACCCGUAUUGCUGUUUUUUUUGCCUAUUUCAGUGUUUUGAAGAAAAGGAAUAUCAAACAGAGUCCAAACGGAAUGAAACCUUCAGGAGCGUGAGUUUUGGAACAAACGUGAUCCAAGGGACUUGGAGUGCAAGUCAAGAAGCAAUCGAGGCGGCCACCAGGGUGGAGGGCGCCCCCUAUCUCGUGGGCCCCUCGGGCGUCCACCGACCUACUUCUUCCUCCUAUAUAUACCCACGUACCACGAGAACAUCAAAGGCGACCACGAAAAACUAUUUCCACCACCGUAACCUUCUGUAUUCACGAGAUCCCAUCUUGGAGCCUUCGUCAUUGCUCCAUCGGAGAGGGAAUCAACCAUGGAGGGCUUCUACAUCAACACCAUAGCCUCUCCAAUUAGUUGUGAGUAGUUUACCACAGACCUUCGGGUCCAUAGUUAUUAGCUAGAUGGCUUCUUCUCUCUCUUUGAAUCUCAAUAUCAUGUUCUCCUCGAUCUUCUUGGAGAUCUAUACGGUGUAACUCUUUUUGCGAUGUGUUUGUCUCGAUCCGAUGAAUUGUGGGUUUAUGAUCAAGUUUAUCUAUGAGAAAUAUUUGAAUCUCCUCUGAAUUCUUUUAUGUGUGAUUAAGUUAUCUUUGCAAGUCUCUUCAAAUUAUCAGUUUGGUUUGGCCUACUAGAUUGAUCUUUCUUGCAAUGGGAGAAGUUCUUAGCUUUGGGUUCAAUCUUGCGGUGUCCUUUCCCAGUGACAGCAGGGGCAGCAAGGCAUGUAUUGUAUUGUUGUCAUCGAGGAUAAAAAGAUGGGGUUCAUAUCAUAUUGCAUGAGUUUAUCCCUCUACAUCAUGUCAUCUUUCUUAAUGCGUUACUCUGUUAUUUAUGAACUUAAUACUCUAGAUGCAUGCUGGAUAGCGGUCGAUGUGUGGAGUAAUAGUAGUAGAUGCAGGCAGGAGUCGGUCUACUUGUUAUGGACGUGAUGCCUAUAUACAUGAUCAUGCCUAGAUAAUCUCAUAAUUAUUUGCUUUUCUAUCAAUUGCUCGACAGUAAUUUGUUCACCCACCGUAAUACUUAUGCUAUCUUGAGAGAAGCCACUAGUGAAACCUAUGGCCCCCGGGUCUAUCUUUUAUCAUAUAAGCUUUCAAUCUACUUUUAUUUGCAUCUUUACUUUUCCAAUCUAUAUUAUAAAAUACCAAAAAUAUAUUUAUCUUAUCAUACUAUCUCUAUCAGAUCUCACUUUCGUAAGUGGCCGUGAAGGGAUUGACAACCCCGUUAUUGCGUUGGUUGCGAGUUCUUGUUUGUUUGUGUAGGUGCGUCGGACUUUUGAGGAGCCUCCUACUGGAUUGAUACCUUGGUUCUCAAAAACUGAGGGAAAUACUUACGCUACUAUUGUUGCAUCACCCUUUCCUCUUCAAAGAAAACCAACGCAAGCUCAAGACGUAGCAUGCCUAUAUACAUGAUCAUGCCUAGAUAUUCUCAUAACUAUGCACUUUUCUAUCAACUGCUCGACAGUAAUUUGUUCACCCGCCGUAAUAUUUAUGCUAUCUUGAGAGAAGCCACUAGUGAAACCUAUGGCCCCGGGUCUAUUUUCCAUCAUAUAAGUUUCCGAUCUACUUUAUUUAGCAAUCUUUACUUUUCAAUCUAUAUCAUAAAAAUACCAAAAAUAUUUAUCUUAUUAUUAUCUCUAUCAUAUCUCACUUUCGCAAGUGGCCGUGAAAAGAUUGACAACCCCUUUAUCGCGUUGGUUGCGAGGUUCUUGUUUGUUUAUGUAGGUACGAGGGACUUGCGUGUAGCCUCCUACUGGAUUGAUACCUUGGUUUUCAAAAGUUGAGGGAAAUACUUACGCUACUUUGCUGCAUCACCCUUUCCCGCUUCAAGGGAAAACCAACGCAGUGCUCAAGAGGUAGCAAGAAGGAUUUCUGGCGCCGUUGCCGGGGAGGUCUACGCACAAGUCAAGACAUACCAAGUACCCAUCACAAACUCUUCUCCUCGCAUUACAUUAUUUUCCAUUUGCCUCUUGUUUUCCUUUCCCCCACUUCACCCUUGCCGUUUUAUUCGCGCUCCCUUUCCCGUUCGCCUCUUUUUCCGCUUGCUUCUUGUGGUACUUGCUUUCACUAUGUCUGAAACUGGGGAGGUUAUCAUUGAUAAGGACAAUAGUAAUAACAUGGGAAACUUUGAUGCUUUUGAUGAUCCUACUGAAGAAACCACUAUCUUACAUACUAAAAGAUUUCGAAUCGGUAGUGGUAAUAUUAUUGGAAAAGGGGUUAUUCAAGAUUCUUUACUUGUGUUGGUGCUUUACCUUCUAUGGGUGGAUCUAUUCUUCAUAGAACUAGUAGUCUUGCGGAUGCUAUAUCCUUGCUUAUAGUUGAACUUGAAAGACAGUUUAUGCAUAUGCAUCCUUGCAUACAAAGGAUUUUUCUAGAAUUUUCCAAUAUUGAGCAUUCUUCUGUUAAGCGCGCAGCUACUAUCUUUUUGGCACAUGAGUUCAGAUUUAUAAUAAAAGAAGCCAGAGAAAUCUUUGCGCACUAUAGGGUGGACGCUGGUCGCCCUCCCAUUUAGGCGAUCCUUUUUAAUCAAGAAGACAUAAUGCGUUUACAAUCCUUAGAUCGUGUUGCUUUUAAUGAAAACCUUAGGAAAAAGGUUCCUACCGAUGUUCUAGUUGAUAGAAUCUCUGAACUUAAUGAUGAUUUUGCUAUUCAUAACAAUGGGUUGGGAUUUUCUCUUGAGCAAAGGCUCAUGACUUUUUGCCAAAAGAAUGCUUAUAAUGAUGAAUUGGUUGUGUAAUAUGAAGGGCCAAAGGAGGAACCCAUACCUCCCGAGCUUGAUCUUGGGGACUUUUGUCCCAUUAAAUUUAGCCCUUUUGAUUACUUUUGCUUGCCACAAAGAAAACUUGUUGUUGAACGUAGGGAAUAUGAGAUGAGUUUUCGUGAUUUACCUUAUCAUUACGGCAAUAAUUAGAUCUAUUCUCGCUUUUAUGCCUAGCUAGGGGCGUUAAACGAUAGCGCUUGUUGGGAGGCAACCCAAUUUUAUUUUUGUUCUUUACUUUUUGCUCCUGUUUAGUAUUAAAUAAUUCAUCUAGCCUCUGGUUAGAUGUGGUUUUAUGUUUUAGUUAGUGUUUGUGCCAAAUAGAACCUAUAGGAUCAUCUUGGGUGAUAGUUAAUUUGAUCUUGCUAAAAAACAGAAACUUUUGCGCACACGAGAAUAAUUUUAAUAAAUCACAGAAACAUGAUUUUGAGUUGAUUAUUUUUUAAGAAGAUUAAUAGACAAAUUUACUAGGACUUCCUAUUUUCGUAGGACUUUUAAGGUUCUAGAAGUAUUCGAAAGUUACAGAUUACUACAGACUGUUCUGUUUUUGACAGAUUCUGUUUUUUGUGUGUUGUUUGCUUAUUUUGAUGAAUCUAUGGCUAGUAUCGGGGGGUAUGAACCAUAGAUAAGUUGGAAUACUGCAGGUUUAACACCAAUAUAAAUAAAGAAUGAUUUCAUUACAGUACCUUAAAGUGGUGGUUUGCUUUUUUGCACUAACGGAGCUCAUGAGAUUUUUUGUUGAGUUUUGUGUUGUGAAGUUUUCAAGUUUUGGGUAAAGAUUUGAUGGAUUAUGGAAUAAGGAGUGGCAAGAGCCUAAGCUUGGGUAUGCUCAAGGCACCCCAAGAUAAAUUCAAGGACAACCAAAAGCCUAAGCUUGGGGAUGCCCCGGAAGGCAUCCCCUUGUCUUCAUCUAUCAGUAACUUUACUUGGAGCUAUAUUUUUAUUCACCACAUGAUAUGUGUUUUGCUUGGAGCGUCUUGAAUGAUAUGAGUCUUUGAUUUUUAGUUUACCACAAUCAUCCUUGCUGUACACACAUUUUGGGAGAGACACACAUGAAUCGGAAUUUAUUAGAAUACUCUAUGUGCUUCACUUAUAUCUUUUGAGCUAGAUAAUUUUGCUCUAGUGCUUCACUUAUAUCUUUUUAGAGCACGGCGGUGGUUUUAUUUUGUAGAAAUUAUUGAUCUCUCAUGCUUCACUUAUAUUAUUUUGAGAGUCUUUUAGAACAGCAUGGUAUUUGCUUUGGUUAUAAAAUUAGUCCUAAUAUGAUGGGCAUCCAAGUUGGGUAUAAUAAAAAUUGUCAUAGAAAGUGCAUGAAACACUAUAAGAAAUUUGAUACUUGAUAAUUGUUUUGAGAUAUAAAGGUGGUAAUGUUAGAGUCAUGCUAGUUGGGUAAUUAUGAAAUUGAGAAAUACUUGUGUUAAAGUUGGCAAGUCCCGUAGCAUGCACGUAUGGUAAACGUUGUGUGACAAAUGUGUUGCACGGGGUGUUCUUUUGAUUGCCUUCCUUAUGUGUGGAGGUCGGGAUCGCGCGAUGGUUAACUCCUACCAACCCUUCCCCUAGGAGCAUGCGUAGUAGUACUUUGCUUCGAGGGCUAAUAAACUUUUGCAAUAAGUAUAUGAGUUCUUUAUGACUAAUGUGAGCCCAUGGAUUAUACGCACUCUCACCCUUCCACCAUUGCUAGCCUCUCUUGUGCCGCGCAACUUUCGCCAGUAUCAUACACCCACCAUUUACCUUCCUCAAAACAGCCACCAUACCUACCUAUUAUGGAAUUUCUAUAGCCAUUCCAAGAUAUAUUGCCAUGCAACUCUCCACCGUUCCGUUUAUUAUGACACGCUCCAUCAUUGUCAUAUUGCUUUUGCAUGAUCAUGUAGUUGACAUCGUAUUUGUGGCAAAGCUACCGUUAUAAUUCUUUCAUACAUGUCACUCUUGAUUCAUUGCAUAUCCUGGUACACCGCUGGAGGCAUUCACAUAGAGUCAUAUUUUGUUCUAAGUAUUGACUUGUAAUUCUUGAGUUGUAAAUCAAUAAAAGUGUGAUGAUCUUCAUUAUUAGAGCAUUGUCCCAAGUGAGGAAAGGAUGAUGGAGACUAUGAUUCCCCCACAAGUCACUAUGAGACUCCGGACCUCAUGAUAAAUAAAAGAGGCCAAAGAAGCCCAAAUAAAAAAGAGAGGCCAAAGAAGCCCACCCAAAAAAAUGAGAGAAAAAGAGAGAAGGGACAUUGUUACUAUGCUUUUUCCAGACUUGUGCUUCAAAGUAGCACCAUGAUCCUCAUGGUAGAGUCUCCUAUGUUGUCACUUUCAUAUACUUGUGGGAAUUUUUCAUUAUAGAACUUGGCUUGUAUAUUACAAUGAUGGGCUUCCUCAAAAUGCCCUAGGUCUUUGUGAGUAAGCGAGUUGGAUGCACACCCACUUAGUUUCUUUUGUUGAGCUUUCACACAUUUAUAGCUCUAGUGCAUCUGUUGCAUGGCAAUCCCUACUCACUCACGUUGAUAUCUAUUAAUGGGCAUCUCCAUAGGCCGUUGAUACGCCUAGUCAAUGUGAGACUUUCUCCUUUUUUGUCUUCUCCACACAACCUCCAUCAUCAUAUUCUAUUCCACCCAUAGUGCUAUAUCCAUGGCUUACGCUCAUGUAUUGCGUGAGAGUUGAAAACGCUGAAGCGCGUUAAAAAGUAUGAACCAAUUGCUUGGCUGAAACCGGGGUUAUGCAUGAUGGGAGUAUUUUGUGUGACAAAAAUGAAGCAUAGCCUAACUAUAUGAUUUUGUAGGGAUAAGCUUUCUUUGGCUACAUUAUUUUGAUAAGACAUGAUUACUUGUUAGUAUGCUUAAAGUAUUACUAUUUUUAUGUUAAUAUGAACUUUUAUUUUGAAUCAUUUGGAUCUGAACAUUCAUGCCACAAUAAAGAAAAUUACAUUGAGAAAUAUGCUAGGUAGCAUUCCACAUCAAAAAUUCUGUUUUUAUCAUUUACCUACUCGAGGACGAGCAGGAAUUAAGCUUGGGGAUGCUUGAUACGUCUCCAAGGUAUCUAUAAUUUUUUAUUGUUCCAUGCUAUAUAUUACCCGUUUUGGAUAUUUAUGGGUUUUACUAUACACUUGUAUAUCAUUUUUUGGACUAACCUAUUAACCGGAGGCCCAGCCCAAAUUGUUGUUUUUGCCUAUUUCAGUGUUUCGCAGAAAAGGAAUAUCAAACGGAGUCCAAACGGAAUGAAACCUUCGGGAGAGUUAUUUUUAAAACAAACGCAAUCCAGGAGACUUGGAGUGGAUGUCAAGAAAAAAACAAGGCGGCCAUGAGGCAGGGAGGCGCGCCCUAGGGGGGUGGGCGCGCCCCCCACCCUCGUGGGCCCCUCGUGGCUCCUCUGACCGACUUUCUUCGCCUAUAUAUAUCUACAUACCCUGAAAACAUCCAGGAGCACCACGAAACCCUAUUUCCACAACCGCAACCUUCUGUACCCGUGAGAUCCCAUCUUGGAGCUUUUUCCGGCGCUCCGCCGGAGGGGGAAUCGAUCACGGGGGGCUUCUACAUCAACACCAUAGCCUCUCCGAUGAGUUGUGAGUAGUUUAUCACAGACCUUCGGGUCCAUAGUUAUUAGCUAGAUGGCUUCUUCUCUCUCUUGAAUCUCAAUACAAAGUUCUCCUCGAUCUUCUUGGAGAUCUAUUCGAUGUAAUUCUUUUUGCGAUGUGUUUGUGGAGAUCCAUGAAUUGUGGGUUUAUGAUCAAGUUUAUCCAUGAGAAAUAUUUGAAUCUCCUCUAAAUUCUUUUAUAUAUGAUUGGUUAUCUUUGCAAGUCUCUUCGAAUUAUCAGUUUGCUUUGGCCUACUAGAUUUAUCUUUUUUGCAAUGGGAGAAGUGCUUAGCUUUGGGUUCAAUCUUGCGGUGUCCUUUCCCAGUGACAGCAGGGGCAGCAAGGCACGUAUUGUAUUGUUGCCAUCGAGGAUAAAAAGAUGGGGUUUAUAUCAUAUUGCUUGAGUUUAUCCCUCUACAUUAUGUCAUCUUGCCUAAUGCGUUACUUUGUUCUUAUGAACUUAAUACUCUAGAUGCAUGCUGGAUAGCGGUCGAUAUGUGGAGUAAUAGUAGUAGAUGCAGGCAGCAAUCGGUCUACUUGUCGCGGACGUGAUGCCUAUAUACAUGAUCAUGCCUAGAUAUUCUCAUAACUAUGCACUUUUCUAUCAAUUGCUCGACAGUAAUUUGUUCACCACCGUAAUACGUAUGCUAUCUUGAGAGAAGCCACUAGUGAAACCUCUGGCCCACGGGUCUAUCUUUUAUCAUAUAAGCUUUCAAUCUACUUUUAUUUGCAUCUUUACUUUUCCAAUCUAUAUUAUAAAAAACCAAAAAUAUAUUUAUCUUAUCAUACUAUCUCUAUCAGAUCUCACUUUCGCAAGUGGCCGUGAAGGGAUUGACAACCCCUUUAGCGCAUUGGUUGCGAGGUUCUUGUUUGUUUGUGUAGGUACGAGGGACUUGCGCGUAGCCUCCUACUGGAUUAAUACCUUGGUUCUCAAAAGCUGAGGGAAAACUUACGCUACUUUGCUGCAUCACCCUUUCCUCUUCAAGGGAAAACCAACACAGGGCUCAAGUGGUAGCAAUGGGUUUUCCACUGAAUCUCACAUUCCAGGAUCCUAGCAUUUAUAGCAUGAAAUAUAAACUCUUAAUAAUGAACCUGGAAAUAUAAUAAUAUUAUAUUAUUGCCUCUAGGGCAUAUUUCCAAUAGUAUUCAACUUGCACUGAAGUCAAUAAUCUAGUUAGCACAUUUUUAUUUACACCAAUGGCAGUCUGGUGUUUGUCCAUACUCAGCUUGUGGUAUAGCCUUCAUCCCAUUGGAUCUUGAAAACUUCAUAUCCACGUGUAUCAUAUGCAUUUCAAUGCCUCUAUCAUGAUGGCUUUGUAUGUAUUGAAUCACUAGAAGGACCUAUGAUUCCUUGGACUGAGCUAUAGAACCACUAUUAAGUAUAGUGUUUCAUUGGCACAAUCAUCUAGAAAUCAUAACAAUCUCAUAAAUGAAAGUGUUAUUGAUCACUCUCCAUUGUUGCUUCUAAAGCAACAAUCUACUCAGCCCUCUGUUAUAGAUUUCACCACAGUAACCAACAACCCAACAAACACACUGCAAAAAACAUUACAUCGGAUAGAACUCCAAGAAGAUCGAGGAGAACAUUGUAUUGAAGAUCAAAGAGAGAAGAAGCCACUAGCUACUAGCUAUGGACUCGUAGGUCUGCGGUGAAUUGCUCACACAUCAUCGGAAGGCGGCACGGAUGAUGCAGAAGCCCUCAGUGAUCGAUUCCCCCUCCGGCGGAGUACCGGUAAAGCCCUCCAGAUGGAAUCGCGGAAGAAUAGAAGCUUGUGGUGGUGGAAAAAGUGUUUCGGAUGGCUCUCUGUUGGUUUGGGAAUAUUUGUGAAUUUAUAGGCUUGGAAUUAGGUCAAACGGAGUUGCGUGGGCCCAUAAGCUCAGGGGGCGCACUUUGUGAGCUCGUGGCUCUCUUGUAGCUCUUCUGGCCUCCUCCCGAACCUUCUAGGACCCCUUCUGGUCCAGAGAAAAUAACCAUAAUUCAUCGUAUUUGGACUUCGUUUGGUAUUGUUUUUCUGAAAAGCCAAAACAAGUAAAAAAUAGGAACUAGCACUGGGCAAUGGGUUAAUAGGUUAGUCCCAAAAGUGGUAUAAAAUAGCAUAAAAAUGCAUAUAAUCCAGGAUUGAUAAUAUAAUAGCAUGAAACAAUCAAAAGUUAUAGAUAUAUUGGAGACGUAUCAGCAUUCCCAAGCUUAAUUCCUGCUCGUCCUUGAGUAGGUAAAUGAGAAUAACAGAAUUUUUGUGUAUACAUGUAUUAUUUGUAGUGAGAUAUGUACAUGACAAAGAGCGAUACUACUGCCAGGAUCAGACCAAUGUACAUGACAUAAGAAAGAGGUGGCACAUCUCUGAAUGCAAGGUCCAUGGCAACAAGCAGACGCAAUGGAAAAGACAGAUUGUUUUGUCAUCUUUUGCAGCGCCAUCCUUUAGUAUGUCAGGGAGCAGCUAAGGAAUGAAAUCAUGCUCCAUUUUGGAUCAUAAGAUUUUAAUUUGACCAUAAGCUAAGCCUCCACCACACGAAAAGUGAUGAAAAUACAAAAUUUGUUAUGUGAUGCAAUACAAUGCAAAUCUUAUGUACUCCCUCUGUAAAGAAAUAUAAGAGCGUUUAGAUCAUUACUUUACACGUUACCAUCGUAAUCUCAAGCUUUGAAUUUAGUACUACUCAUUAAUCAAUUGUGUGAUCUUAAGAAAAUGCUAUACCUCUAAAAUGAACAACUAAAAGGUCAUGAGACACGUAGUGAUCUCCAAAUAAAUUGGUUGUUCUAGGGGAAAAGUGAUGAAAAGUGUUGUUCUAGGGGAAAAGUGAUGACAAGCAUGGAUUAUCUGUUUCGUCAUCUUGGGAGGGGGAGGGUCAUCCACAUGACCACAAGCCAAGCCCACACCCCACGUCAAGUGAUGCAAAUCCCAAUCAUGUCAUGUCAUGAUUUACAAUGCAAAUCUUCUUUAAAACUUUACACAUUGGCAUCACUAUCUUAAGCUUGGCAUUUGGUACUCCCUACGAUCCAUAUUUGUUGUCGCUCAAACGGAUGUAUCUAGCACUAAAAUACAUCUAGAUACAUCUGUUUCAGCGACAACUAAUAUGAAUCAAAGGGAAUACUACUAAUUAGUUGUGUGAUCUUAAUAAAACACCAUGCUUCUAAAAUGAACAGGUCACGAGGCGUGUACCAAUCUCCAGAUGAAUUUGAUGUUCUACAGAAUUCAUAUGUGCGGAAAGAUAAGACUGAAAACCGCACACUUACCCGGGAUAGGAUGGGAUAUUUUGAGAAAUAGAUAAGGAUUAGUUCAGGUUUCUCCCAUAUAUACGAAAUGACUGGACGAUGACUAAUUAAACGAGAGACAACAAACCACUUAUCUUCCUUUAUGACUCAAUUGAUCGAGAGCCUUCCCAAGUUGCUUUUGCGGUUUUGUUGGUCACAAUGCAGAUGCUUUGAACCUUUGCACAACCGUGGGCAUGUGGCUCCCGUUAAAUAGCCACAAGAUACCAUAAAAUUAGCACUUCCAAAGUUCCCAUUUACUCUCUCUUCCUCUCAAGUCUAACCAAAGCCCAACAAACCACCACCUCGGCCAUGGCAACCACCCUCGCCACCGACGUCCGCCUCUCCAUCGCGCACCAGACCCGCUUCGCCCUCCGUCUCGCCUCCACCAUCUCAUCCAACCCUAAGUCUGCUGCCAGCAAUGCCGCCUUCUCCCCGGUCUCCCUCUACUCCGCACUUAGCCUCCUCGCCGCUGGCGCGGGCAGUGCCACUCGGGACCAACUCGUCGCCACACUCGGGACAGGCAAGGUCGAGGGACUCCACGCGCUCGCCGAGCAGGUGGUCCAGUUUGUGCUCGCCGACGCGUCCUCCACUGGUGGUCCGCNNNNNNNNNNNNNNNNNNNNNNNNNNNNNNNNNNNNNNNNNNNNNNNNNNNNNNNNNNNNNNNNNNNNNNNNNNNNNNNNNNNNNNNNNNNNNNNNNNNNNNNNNNNNNNNNNNNNNNNNNNNNNNNNNNNNNNNNNNNNNNNNNNNNNNNNNNNNNNNNNNNNNNNNNNNNNNNNNNNNNNNNNNNNNNNNNNNNNNNNNNNNNNNNNNNNNNNNNNNNNNNNNNNNNNNNNNNNNNNNNNNNNNNNNNNNNNNNNNNNNNNNNNNNNNNAAUGUAAAAGAAUUUUUAACGGACAUAAUUAUGUACAUUUGAGAGAAACAAUGACAUGCUUAACUAACUACUUCAGCCGCCUGUACAUGUUGGCAUGCCACUGCUUCACUCAAAGUGUUUGUUUUCUGCUGAUGUAAUAUAGAGGUCUGUAUUAAUCUUAUACACAUUCUAGAUUUGUAAUUUAGUGGUUAUCGUAUACCACUGUUUUUUACACUAGAAGCUUCACCUUUGUAAGCAUAGUUCGCACCUGCUACCUUGAACUGUGAAUGAUUUUGCCUAUCCUGUUAGUCGGCAUGAUUGGAGAUAACUAGUCUGUUACUUUUCUGAGCAUACCUAAUCUUUUGGGAGUGUAAUUCUCAUACCGUGCUAUCUAGGGAUAUGAAGGCUGGGGAAUUUUCUGAUGUUUUAUACUUUAAUUACGCUCUUCAGCGAAGUGAGAUUAUAAUUUUGGGAGUAUUUCCUGGAAACUUUGUCUCCAACGUAAGAAGAUGUACAAAAAAAUCAGCUAAAGAUUAUAAUUUUGGGAAUAUUUCUGUAAAAGGUAUUGCAUAGUGGUGCUUCGAGAUGUUGUGAUGGCCAUUCAAAUUUGUAUGCUCAUAUGAAUUGUUUUUCUAUCAUACGUUGUUGUAUGUGCUGAUUUAUGUGUUUGAAAAUUUUACUAUAAAAAUGCUUUAUAAAAACACUAGUAUGCUGCUUUGCAUUCUUAGCACAACUAUUAUAUUUUGUUCUUUGAAAGAAUUUUCUAUUGGUUUGUUCAAAGGUUGGUGGCACAGCAGUACCGUCAAACUAUUUUCAUUACAUAAUUGACCUUUGUUUAUUUUUUCCAUGGCCCAGGCCGCUGAAGUUACUACUCAAGUGAAUUCAUGGGUAGAGAAAGUCACGAGCGGUCGCAUCAAGGACAUUCUCCCCCCAGGAUCUAUUGACAAUACCACUAAACUUGUUCUUGCCAAUGCCCUUUAUUUCAAAGGAGCUUGGACAGAGCAGUUUGAUUCAUAUGGAACAAAAAACGACUACUUCUACCUUCUUGAUGGGAGCUCAGUUCAAACACCAUUCAUGUCCAGCAUGGAUGACCAAUACCUUUUGUCUUCUGAUGGGUUGAAGGUACUUAAGCUACCUUACAAGCAAGGUGGGGACAAUAGGCAGUUCUUCAUGUAUAUCCUUCUUCCAGAAGCACCAGGUGGUCUCUCAAGCUUGGCCGAAAAAUUGAGUGCUGAACCAGACUUCCUGGAGCGGCAUAUCCCAAGGCAGAGGGUUGCAC